rnacentral:rRNA from 1 species
AUGGGGGCGGGACUAUAUGGGUAUGUCGACAAAACAAUCCCCGAGUCAUCCAAGACCAUCACCACCAAAACCUCCGACGGGAAAGACCAGAUCGGUCCCGAUCCUGCCCACAACCCUUGGUUAAUCCAAGAUCAACAGAUAGUCGCCUACUUGCUCCGAAAUCUCUCCAAGGAGGUCUUGGUUCAGGUUGCUUCCUUAGAAACCUCUUCUGCCAUAUGGUCGGCUCUCGCAAACAUGUUUGCAGCCCAAUCACGAUCUCGUGAAAACAACUGCCGCAUUGCCCUCUCCAACGCCCAGAAGGGCACCCAAUCUGCAGCCACCUUCUUCGGUCAUAUGCGA